CUAUUAACUAAUAGAUGUCUAUGAACUCACAAUUACUGUAUGUGCCCCUCACCUACAAUGCCUCUCCCUGACUAGACCGCUGCCUUGCACGUAAUUGCUUCAGGCAACCAUUCACAGGAUUUUGAAGAAGAAAAGCAUCAAGAUUUUCUGCUUGUUGGUCCAUACAUGUACGAGCCAGAUGCAGUAGAUGACGGCGUUGAGGUUGUUCCGACCAACCAGACUUGGAAUGGCGUCUCAAUACAAGGAGAGUGGAUGACUGGUGCUGGGCCACCAGAACAACUCCACCCCGUCAUAUAUUUGACGAAUCUCAAGAUGUCUGUUGGAAGGUGGAGGAGAGAGGGAUGCAGAAAGGAGGCAGCCCCCUUCCUGAAAAGAGUUCCCUUCAUUUUGGAGUUUGAAGAUUGUGCCAAGUGCUGUCAGACUUGUCAACAAUCUCGCAGAGGUGUCCAAUUGGGUCGGGAGAUGACGACGGCGAAGGCCAUAGCAUUUGAGUUACAUCAUCUUUAUCCUCAUUCUUCAAACUCGGCUCUGUGUCACAUUUUGUCAGGUGAUGCAGAAAAAUAUCUUUCAGUCAGAGAACAACAGACAAAAAGCUUAGUGCAAUUCCAUAUCCAUUACGUCUAAGUAGCUUCUCCAAACAUACAUUUAUUCAUUUUCACAUGACAGCAUCAACGAGGACAGCACGACUCAGCUCCACAUCUGAACCAGAAUUAUUCAUUAUAAGCUCUCUUUCUGUAUGUAUAAUUAUUUAUAUGCUUCAAUUAUGGAUAAAGUGGUGACAAAGGGGCAGACUUAACUCAGCAAAGACUUGUGACUGAAGAAGAAAUAAUUGGGCUUCUACUGUGAUGUAGGUAAAAUAGUGCAGCCUGCUUCAAUUAGCUUCCAAUAACUACACAAUAAUCAAUGUGUCAAUUUUAAAUAUUUGUUAGUGCUGUAUCUAUGCAUUUGGCCUAUUUAAAUAACAUUUUACACCAAGUUGGGAAGCAUAUAUUUGGUGUGAGCUAACAAGCUAAAAAUUGGACAUUGGACAAUAUUUGACAUAUCGGUAAAUUUGGAGAUGAAUGAAAUUUAAAUUGAUCGAUAGUUGCAAAUUUCAUGAAUGAAACAGAUUUCAAACAGUAUUAUAUCCACUCUACUGCAUGCAGCAUCUGUGUACAUGUUCGUGCGUGUGUUGUGUGUAUCCAAAGAUGGCAUCAUCUUAUUAUUCCUCACUGACAUCAGGUUUGUAAGGAAUAGCAUGAACUGACAGCAAAAUGAUUUGGCUUGCAAAGAAAUAAUUAGUUACAGAUUGUUUCUGGCUCAAGAGAGAUGUUUCAAAAAGCAGGUGUCUGUUUGGCUUGCAAAUCAGCCCUCGUUGCUUUUUUCUCAUGAGUCUCUGAUGAUGAUUUGGCAUUACAAAGCUAAUUACAAUAAAACAGUUGCCUAACAGAAGAAGCAUGGUUUUCCAAUUUUACUGUUUACUGUUGACAUAAAAAUGUAUGGUACAUAGACUACAUGUUUCUUAACUUGUAGAAGGUAAUCUGUUACAAUUUAAUGCUAUCCUUUUACCUUUUUCCUAUUCAAAGUUGAAUGAGCCUUCUCAAGUUUUGGCAUAGGUUUUACAAAC